rnacentral:rRNA from 1 species
UACAGAGGGUGCAAGCGUUGUUCGGAAUUACUGGGGCGUAAAGCGCGUGUAGGCGGUUGCCCAAGUCGGGUGUGAAAGCCUUGACGCUCAACUCAAGAAAUGCACUCGGUACUGGGUGACUAGAGGACCGGAGAGGAUAGUGGAAUUCCCAGUGUAGUGGUGAAAUACGUAGAGAUUGGGAAGAACACCAGUGGCGAAGGCGGCUAUCUGGACGGUUUCUGACGCUAAGACGCGAAAGCGUGGGGAGCAAACAGG